GACGAACGCUGGCGGCGUGCCUAACACAUGCAAGUCGAACGAGGUCCAAGGAAGCUUGCUUCCUGAAGACCUAGUGGCGAACGGGUGAGUAACACGUGAGAAACCUGCCUCGGAGUGGGGAAUAACUCGGGGGAAACUCGAGCUAAUACCGCAUACCUUCACAUGAUCGCAUGGUCGAGUGAAGAAAGAAUUUCGCUCUGAGAGGGUCUCGCGGCCUAUCAGCUUGUUGGUGGGGUAACGGCCUACCAAGGCAACGACGGGUAGCUGGUUUGAGAGAACGAUCAGCCACACUGGGACUGAGACACGGCCCAGACUCCUACGGGAGGCAGCAGUGGGGAAUCUUGCGCAAUGGGCGAAAGCCUGACGCAGCAACGCCGCGUGCGGGAUGACGGCCUUCGUGGUUGUAAACCGCUUUCAGCAGGGCGAAAUGACGGUACCUGCAGAAGAAGCCCGGCUAACUACGUGCCAGCAGCCGCGGUAAU
rnacentral:rRNA from 1 species